UUGGCGUGUAGAGCUUCAUAGUCUUUUGAGAUUAGAUCUCAAAAGCUCCCUCUUCUUCCUCUUCUCAAAAAGUCCUCUAGCAUCUUCAUCCGUCUUUCCUGCGAAGAUUGAUGUACGAACGAAGUAGAGGGUCUAGAUAUCUAGAUCUCGCAGAGCAGUAGAUCUUCAGGAACUUCAACCUUGAUCAAGACUUCCACUGCG
rnacentral:lncRNA from 1 species